CGACCGGCGCACGGGUGAGUAACACGUAUGCAACCUGCCCUCUUCAGGGGGACAACCUUCCGAAAGGGAGGCUAAUCCCGCGUAUAUCGGUUUCGGGCAUCCGAGAUCGAGGAAAGAUUCAUCGGAAGAGGAUGGGCAUGCGGCGCAUUAGCUAGACGGCGGGGUAACGGCCCACCGUGGCGACGAUGCGUAGAGGUUCUGAGAGGAAGGUCCCCCACACUGGUACUGAGACACGGACCAGACUCCUACGGAAGGCAGCAG
rnacentral:rRNA from 1 species